CUGCGGCAAGCCUGGUCA
rnacentral:misc_RNA from 1 species